CAGCAGCCACGGGAACACGUAGGGGGCAAGCGUUAUCCGGAAUAACUGGGCGUAAAGGGUGCGCAGGUGGUUUAACAAGUUAGUGGUGAAAGGCAUAGGCUCAACCAAUGUAAGCCAUUAAAGCUGUUUAACUUGAGUGCAGGAGAGGAAAGUGGAAUUCCUAGUGUAGCGGUGAAAUGCGUAGAUAUUAGGAGGAAUACCAGUGGCGAAGGCGACUUUCUGGGCUGCAACUGACACUGAGGCACGAAAGCGUGGGGAGCAAACAGGAUUAGAUACCCCGGUAGUCCCUGUCUCUUAUACA
rnacentral:rRNA from 1 species